UACAGAGGUGGCAAGCGUUGUUCGGAAUUACUGGGCGUAAAGGGCGCGUAGGCGGCCUUCUAAGUCAGACGUGAAAUCCCCCGGCUUAACCUGGGAACUGCGUCUGAUACUGGAAGGCUUGAGGAUGGGAGAGGGAUGUAGAAUUCCAGGUGUAGCGGUGAAAUGCGUAGAUAUCUGGAGGAACACCGGUGGCGAAGGCGGGAUCCUGGGCCAGUACUGACGCUGAGGAGCGAAAGCGUGGGGAGCAAACAGG
rnacentral:rRNA from 1 species